GUCUCAAAACAAACAAAAAAACCAAAAAAACCCCCCAAAAAACAAAAAAAUUAGACGGGCAUGGUGGCAUGCACCUAUAGUCCCAGCUACUCAGGAGGCUGAGGCAGGAGAAUCGCUUGAACCCAGGAGUUGGAGGUUGCAAUGAGCAGAGAUCAUGCCGCUGCACUCUAGCCUGGGUGACACAAUAAAGAAAUGGGGGCUCAGAGCAGUCAAGAACAUGCCCCAAGUUAUUCGUCAGUGAGGCGGAAAUUGUGGUGUCCUUGUUUUCUGUGGGUCAGGAGAUCAGAAAUGGUUCUAUUUCAAGGUCUCUCACAGGGCUGCAAUCAAGAUGUUGGCAUGGCUGGGGUCUCAUCUGAAGGCUGGACUGGAGAAG